rnacentral:sRNA from 1 species
UUAAUUAAACUUCAAGCACAGUCUUUUAAUCAUAUCAAUUCACCUAAUGAUCUAUCAUCAAGCCUACAUUAUCUUAUCUAUUCCAAAAAAUACAGUGAGUUGCUUUGUCUUGCCUAAAUUCUGAUGCAUAGGGCCCUGCCUGUAGGAUUUUACUGAGAUCACCAGAGCAACAGAACAGGGUACUUAGCCUACUUCAGCUCACUACUUUCAUUGUUAAUUACACAAAAGUCCUUUGUUACAAUCUGUUUUAGAAUUUCGCUGAUCCCCAUUUUAGCAACUAUCUUCCUUAUAAUUAAAACAACAACAACAACAAAAAUGAGGCUACUAUGUUCUGAAAUUUAUUUUAAUUCCAGUGGAACUUCAGAUUUAUGCAUUUAUUCACUUGUUUGCUUGUUUGUUUAGUUGACAAUGUUUUUACCUGGAAACUUACCUUUUUUUAUUUUUUAUUUUUUAUUUUUUUGAGACAGAGUCUUGCUCUGUCGCCCAGGCUGGAGUGCAGUGGUGCAAUCUUGGCUCACUGCAAGAUCCGACUUCCAGGUUCACACCAUUCUCCUGCCUCAGCCUCCCAAGUAGCUGCGACUACAGGCAUCCGCCACCACGCCCAGCUAAUUUUUUUGUAUUUUUAGUAGAGACGGGGUUUCACCGUGUUAGCCAGGAUGGUCUCGAUCUCCUGACCUCAUGAUCUGCUUGCCUCAGCCUCCCAAAGUGCUGGGAUUACAGGAGUGAGCCACCAUGCCUGGCCCGAAACUUAUCUUCUUUUAAAUGACUUGACUGACUUUGCAAUUUCCUUAUCCUUUUCGAAUUUUGUAAAAUUAUUUUUUAUUAUUGACUGGCUAUCUUCUGAAGUCUGGAGAUAGUUCUUCUAGACCAAACUAGAAAAGGUAAAAAAGUAAGAGUUAACUUUGGGGCUGAGAUUGAAAUAUGCUUCUAACACUUACAGGCAGCAAGACAUUUGCAAGUUAAACAAGAUCUAAGUGCUUCUGUUCUGUUCCCUUGUUGUAAAACGGGGAAAAUAAUAGCACUUUACCCACAGAAUUGUGGUAAAAUUUAAAGUUGAUUCUUGUAAAGUACUCAAAAUAAUGCCUCGAAUAUAGUAAACAUUCAAAACUAUUAGAUAAUUUUUUUAGUAACAACAUUAGAUACUAAACUCAUGUUGUUUCUCUAAACAACUUAAAAUCAAUUUUAUUGGUAUUAUCAUUUUUAUACAUGUUAGCUCAUUUUAAGUUAUAAAUCAGUCAGUAAGAUCAUAUACAUCUGGGCCACUGCUAUAUAUUUAAGUUUUAUCAUGCAUAAAAUUCUCAACUUGUUCUACAGUUUCUGGUGCAAUAAGGCAUUUUAGGUCUCUGGUUGCAAGACAGACACUGACCUUUGUGGUGAAGAACCUAGGUUCCAUGUGAGACUGAUGGGCUCUACCACCUGCUAGAGGCUUGCUCUUAGACAAGUGCAUUACUAUUCAGAUGGAAUUAUGGGCAGUUCCCUCUUUGGGUUGUGGCACUUGAAGCCUUUUUAAUCCCAAAUGUUUUAUUACAUUUACAGACUCGGGGGCAAAAGGUAAGAAUUCCAUUUAUUCUCCUUUAGAUCUUUCAUUGUUUUUUGAGGACAAGGAAGAAAGUCUUCACAUCCCUGAGCUCUAGAUAUUGAUGUGGUUUAUGUGUCUGUGUAGUCUAAUGCUUGCUGGUCUAUUUGGAGGCUGCUCUCCAGGUUCUCACUUUUCCCUGCAGGAAAAGUGUUAGAUCAGUUAUCUCCACUAGGACUCCAACAGGGUUCAAGGUCUGGUUGCAAACAUCUUCUCUCUAGCCCAGGUUAUAGCUAAGACUUAAGGGCAAGGUGGCCAUAUUCUAGUUGCUACAAUGCAAGAGAAUCUAUUUGUGCAGAACAAAACAUACUCAUAAGGCACAAAGAAACCUAUUACAUUAUAGUCAUCAGAUAUAGUAGAAUGAGACUUUUAUAAAUAUUUAUUUCUGCAAAUCCUACAGAAGUAAGUUUUUAAAAGC